AUUGAACGCUGGCGGCAGGCCUAACACAUGCAAGUCGAGCGGAUGAAGGGAGCUUGCUCCUGGAUUCAGCGGCGGACGGGUGAGUAAUGCCUAGGAAUCUGCCUGGUAGUGGGGGAUAACGUCCGGAAACGGGCGCUAAUACCGCAUACGUCCUGAGGGAGAAAGUGGGGGAUCUUCGGACCUCACGCUAUCAGAUGAGCCUAGGUCGGAUUAGCUAGUUGGUGGGGUAAAGGCCUACCAAGGCGACGAUCCGUAACUGGUCUGAGAGGAUGAUCAGUCACACUGGAACUGAGACACGGUCCAGACUCCUACGGGAGGCAGCAGUGGGGAAUAUUGGACAAUGGGCGAAAGCCUGAUCCAGCAAUGCCGCGUGUGUGAAGAAGGUCUUCGGAUUGUAAAGCACUUUAAGUUGGGAGGAAGGGAAGUAAGUUAAUACAUUGCUGUUUUGACGUUACCAACAGAAUAAGCAACGGCUAACUUCGUG
rnacentral:rRNA from 1 species